UAGGGAAUUUUCGUCAAUGGGCGCAAGCCUGAACGAGCGAUGCCGCGUGAGUGAAGAAGGCCUUCGGUCGUAAAGCUCUGUUGCGGGGGAAAAAAGGCAGCAUCAGGAAAUGGGUGCUGACUGAUGGUACCCCGCCAGAAAGUCACGGCUAACUACGUGCC
rnacentral:rRNA from 1 species